GUAAAAAUCGGUGCGUGCGGCUUUACUUGUGGGAGUUUGCAGUGGGAGUCGGCGGCGCACACACUUGCUCUCGAAGAUGGAGAAAAAGUUGGCGGGGAAGCGCACAAAUCUGCUUGUCUGCCUAGCGGCGUUGAUUUGAAGUGAAGUGAGCGCUAGCAGCUGAGACAGCUGCCGUGAAGCGGGUGCAGGUGGUUGGUGUAGGGCGCGUGGGAAGAGUGGUGUGCCGACGGACAUUUGUUAUUAUCGGAGAUGAUGAGAGUUGAAUAGAGCUAGAAUUCGUCGCCGUUUAUUUAAACCGAGCUUACACCCUGACGGCGUCGAAUCAACGCUGAUGGAAUUUAUCUUAUACGAGUAUCUUACGAAAAUUAUGAAAGGAGAUACAGUUUUUUUGUCAAAAUACUUGAUGGCAAUACAAUUUUCAACUCUCUGAGGCCCACAGUGCAUUGAUUGGAACGCAGUGGAAGAAGUCGGAGAAGAAGCAGAGCAGCAAUGGUGGUUGGCUGACUUGCAGACUGGCUGACUGACUGGUUGUUGUUGUUGCCCUCUUGUGCCAGUUGUCGUUUAUUAGACUCAUAGAUGACAACAGAUGUCUUCGACUUUCCAACAAUCGGUUGCGUAUCUGUUUUUGGAAAGCGAAAACGCCCACAAGUGAUAUCGCAACUCGCAAUAUGGCAAUUGAUGUUAUGAAAAAAAAUGCUAGUUUUUAUGCUAGUUGCUGCCAUUGCGGUAUUGUGUCACCGACCGUAAAUGCGUGGUAUUGUGAGGUUUGCGUGGAGCAGCCCAGUGGAGGAAAAAAGAAUCAUUUUGCCAC